GGAGGGUACAGCUCAGUGGUAGAGCGCGUGUUUAGCAUCCACGAGAUCCUGGAUUCAAUCCCCAGUCCCUCCA
rfam:Camelus ferus unplaced genomic scaffold scaffold1437, whole genome shotgun sequence.